CUUCUAGAGAACCUUGGAUAACUGAUUGGUAGUUUAGUGUGUAAGUCACUACCCCAGUGAGGACAUGUUUGUUUACCAUGUUAUACCAACAUGUGUUGUAUUUUUCUUAAUGUUAAACACGAGCAGUAGAUUCAACAUGACUAACUGUUUCAUGCUAAAGUUAGUUGGAACUCAACUCACUGUACGUACUCUAACUCAGAUAACUCUGGUGCUGUUGCCUUAGAGCCACAGGCAGGAAAAUCAUUCUUUUCUUCAGAAAAUUGGAAAGCUGCUGGAGUAAUCUGGUGUUUAUGCUCAUUUGAUUCAUUUCGUGCCAGCUAGUGAAAGCCGAAAGGCAUGUCAAAUUUAAUUGUGCUGCUCCGUGCUGUCUCGAAGCAAGCAAUCCAGCCGUUGCGUUCAGUCAUUUGGAACAGGAAUCUAAUGGCUGUCAAUAGGUGGCUGUGAAUAAGUGACUGAAAUAAUGUCCACCAGGUAGCGCGAGUGUCUUCAGGGACGCUUAUCGGCCAUUUUGUUCCAAGACGCAGCAGAAAUGGGUUGUUGGUUGUGACGUUUCUCACGAUGAAAAUU